ACAAACCGACAAACUUCAAAAAUUACAAAUGUCAUGAACAGAAACCAAUUAAUUUUUAUAGUAACUGUUUCGGCAGUGGCCUCAUUCGCGGGCACCAUGUGGGACAACUUCGGGAAACGGCCAGGACCCUAAACAUCAUUAUGGCCCGGAAUGUCUCCUAUCGCUGAUAUAACUACCAUAAUGAGCCACAAACAAUACAAAAUAGAUCCAUGAUCCACCAAAAAUAGUGUCUCCAAGUUGCACCAAUUUUCUACAAACCAAAAACAUGCAUCCGUACAAACUGGACUGUAUGAAGCCAACCCGCCUCUGGCAUUUGACUGGCAAGAAGCACUUCUGGGGCAUUCUCAAGGAUCGCUAUAGUGCCGUCAACCAUACCCAUGCGCCUUUAGAACGCAAAGACGCGCUUACUAUACUAAGUAUCUCCUUGCUUGCAGCUACAGGGUUAUUAUAUGUAUAUGGGAGGUUCACCCCUAAGGCUAAACCUCCGGAGGUGUGCACCACAGACAACCGUCCUACGAUGCCCUGUCCAAGAAAAUAUCCGCGCAUUCACUAAUAGAUCCUUCAUGACGAAUAAUUGACGAAAAAUAACUAGAUAAAAUUAUAAAAGAACUAUGGUUAAAAAUUAAAGUUUUAAAAUUAUA